CGCCCGCCUUGGCCUCCCAAAGUGCUGGGAUUACAGGCGUGAGCCACCGUGCCCGGUCUGGACUUACUUUAUUAUAUGUUAUAGACAUGUAAUUACAUAUUUUGUAUAGUUGACCACACAGAAACAGGCACUUAGGUCUCCGUCCCUCUAGCCAUUUCUCAACCGUCUCGACCGGCGAGUUUUCGUUGAGGCGAGGGAGCGCUCGCUCCCACAGGUUCGAGGGCUGGGCGGAGCCUUGGGAAACGGGCCCUGGUAAUCUCCGCUCAGUGAGUGGCGCUGCGAAGCUGCUUCUGCCCGGGAAGGAGGAGAGGGGCCUGGAACCGCCGAGGGAACCACCAGUUCCGACGCCCUGGGGUUGUGCCCUCAGUCUCUUGCCUCAGCACCUGGGUAGGUUUCCGCCUACAUGUAACCAGUGACUUCAAAUAUUCUGUUUUAUCUAAGAAGUACAACGAAGGUCAUGAGAAGCCUGAGUAGGCCUGAACUACAGCUGCCUGGGCACCAUAGUGAAGGUUAUAGGAUAAGCCCAUGCCCAGACAAACCUAGAUAACGGACAUCUGGGUUACUUGGCAACAGUCAUGUGCAAUCCUGUCUUUGUCCUGCCUCUGUAUUGCUGCUUUUCACACCACUGUAAGCUUGCUUCAAGCUAGCCCACCACCUUCUGUGAAGUAUGUAUAAAAGUCAGAUGCUGUCUUUGUUCCGGGCCCAGUCUUUUGGACGUUGAGUCAGCUGGGCCUGAGUGCACUCAAUAAAGAUUCUAGUUUCAACCUGAGGUCUCUCUCGUCCUCCUGAAUCCUGCAACAUUUCCAGUAGAGACAGGAUUUCACCAUGUUGGCCAGACUGGCCUCAAACGCCUGACAUCAAGUGAUCUGCCCACCUCUACCUCUCAAAGUGCUGGGAUUACAUGCGUGAGCCACCAUGCUCUACCGUUUUCUUCCCUUUUUAAACAGAAUAAAACUCAUUAUGUCUUGCAAUGACCAUAUAGAUCUAUUGGUAGGCCCUCUUAUAACCUGUCAGCACCAUCCAGCCAAAGGCCACCAGGAACACACCUGUCAUGACAUGAGUUAGCUUUGAGGGAGAACGUUUUGCAUGCCACGGGGAACUGUGGGGCAAAUAAGUAAGAGGGUGUCAGGGAUGGUUUAUUACAGGAUUUGGGCAUGUGUUAGGUGGUUUGAGGAGUCCUUUCUCUGGGAUGCUCUCAGGAAGUGGGGGUAAUUCUAUGAUUGAGGAUCUUAACAAAUUUCACCAAGAAGGAGGGAAGAGUAGAGGAAGGCCAAAGCCGUAAUUGGCUAAAGUAGCAGCAGUCGAUCCUAUUAGCCAGGACAUGGGGUAUGGCCUGGCUGUGAAUCCCAGACCCACUUCUGGUUCUGCUUUUCUCUUUCCAAAAAUCCAAGACAUAUUGUGGGAUCUUAGCGGUCUUACUUCUUCUGCAUCUUGAAAUGAUUUGCUAUUUCAUCAUCCUGGGAAAUCUUCUGUAGUUAAUUCAUUGAUUCCCAAAAAUGACUUAAGAGUCUUCAAGAGGCCAGGCACGGUGGCUUAUGCCUUAAUCCCAGCACUUUGGGAGGCCGAGGCGGGCGGAUCAUGAGGUCAGGAGUUUGAGACCAGCCUGGCCAACAUAGUGAAACUGUGUCUCUACUAAAAAUACAAAAAUUAGCCGGGCAUGGUGGUGCAUGCCUAUAAUCCCAGCUACUCAGGAGGCUGAGGCAGGAGAAUCGCUUGAAUCUGAGAGGCGGAGGUUGCAGUGAGAGGAUUGUGCCACUGCACUGCAGCCUGGGUGACAGAUUGAGACUCUCUCAAAAAAAAAAAAAAAAAAAAAGAGGUGUAAGAAUUAAAGAGGAAAGAAACAUGAAAGGGGAUGGGCAGUGGGGAAGUGGAGUAACAUGUACCACAGAGUAACAGAGGGAGGGGUGGUAGAAGGUGAUUGGAGAGUGUGACCCUGGAAGUGGAUGGUGGAUGGCGUUAUGGCAUCAGCAAUGACAAGAUCUAGACUUAGACCAGGGAAGUGAGUGGCUGGGGUACGUAAGGCCUAGGUCAAGGAACUGGGGAACUGGGUGUCAACUGAUGACAGGAGUUAUGUUGGAAAGUGAGCCAGGAGCUAAAACCUUCAAGGAAUAAGUAAGUGUUGGCAUGAGUGUGACUGGCCACCAGGACAGAUGACAGCAAUAAAGGGAGGUAGUGGGCAGUAUGGGUACAAGGCACAAUGGAAUGAGGGGUGGGGAGAACCAACAGAGAAAGGAAAGCAAUCAAUGUCCUUAGUGGAGGAUAAAGCGAAAGAAGAAAGGAGGCUGGGAAUAGGGAGGACAGCAGGAAAAUGAGCAAGGUUUCAGGAAUCAGACACGGGAUAAGAGAUGAAGCUUCUUGUGCCUGACCCACACAGAGCAGAAAUGCAGAACUUCAGGGUCAUUCUACAGUGAGUGGCAGAUACAUGGAAGACAGCUGCAGCAUUAGUUCUUUGCACUCACUACCUGGGGGAUGUCACCUCUGUCCAAGUAUAAUGCCCAGGGGGUUCUCCUUGCCUGCUGCCUAAACAGAGCUGAUUCAUCAGAACAGGGGAAUUGCAAUAGAGAAAGAGUAAUUUGGCUGGGUGCAGUGGCUCACACCUGUAAUCCCAGCACUUUGGGAGGCCAAGGCAGGUGAAUCACCUAAGGUCAGGAGUUUGAGACCAACCUGGCCAACACAGUGAAACCCUGUCUGUACUAAAAAUACCAAAAAUUAGCCGGGCGUGGUGGCACGUGCCUAUAAUCCCAGCUAUUGGGGAGGCUGAGGCAGGAGAAUCGCUUGAACCUGAGAGGCGGAGGAUGCUGUGAGCCAAGAUCCUGCCAUUGCACUCCAGCCUGGGCAACGAAAGUGAAACUCCAUCUCAAAAAAGAAAGAGUAAUUCACGCAGGGCUGGCUGUGUGGGAGACCGGAGUUUUAUUAUUACCCAAAUCAGUCUACC
rnacentral:lncRNA from 1 species